ACGGAAGGCAGCAGUGGGGAAUAUUGCGCAAUGGGGGAAACCCUGACGCAGCAACGCCGCGUGAAGGAAGAAGGUCUUCGGAUUGUAAACUUUUGGUUGCAGGGAAGAAGAAGUGACAGUACCUGCAAAGGAAGCUCCGGCUAACUACGUGCCAGCAGCCGCGGUAAUACGUAGGGAGCAAGCGUUGUCCGGAAUUACUGGGUGUAAAGGGUGCGUAGGCGGGUAUGCAAGUCAUAUGUGAAAUACCGGGGCUCAACUCCGGAGCUGCAUAAGAAACUGUAUAUCUUGAGUGCAGGAGAGGUAAGCGGAAUUCCUAGUGUAGCGGUGAAAUGCGUAGAUAUUAGGAGGAACACCAGUGGCGAAGGCGGCUUACUGGACUGAAACUGACGCUGAGGCACGAAAGCGUGGGGAGCAAACAGGAUUAGAUACCCUGGUA
rnacentral:rRNA from 1 species